rnacentral:tRNA from 1 species
AUUAUCUUGGCAGAUUAGUGUGUUGAAUUUAGAAUUCAAAAAUGUAAAUUAUUUACAGAUAAUA